rnacentral:rRNA from 1 species
AGUGAACGCUGGCGGUAGGCCUAACACAUGCAAGUCGAACGGCAGCACAGUAAGAGCUUGCUCUUACGGGUGGCGAGUGGCGGACGGGUGAGGAAUACAUCGGAAUCUACUUUUUCGUGGGGGAUAACGUAGGGAAACUUACGCUAAUACCGCAUACGACCUACGGGUGAAAGCAGGGGAUCUUCGGACCUUGCGCGAUUGAAUGAGCCGAUGUCGGAUUAGCUAGUUGGCGGGGUAAAGGCCCACCAAGGCGACGAUCCGUAGCUGGUCUGAGAGGAGGAUCAGCCACACUGGAACUGAGAAACGGUCCAGACUCCUACGGGAGGCAGCAGUGGGGAAUAUUGGACAAUGGGCGCAAGCCUGAUCCAGCCAGACCGCGUGGGUGAAGAAGGCUUUCGGGUUGUAAAGCCCUUUUGUUGGGAAAGAAAAGCAGCAGGUUAAUACCCCGCUGUUCUGACGGUACCCAAAGAAUAAGCACCGGCUAACUUCGUG